rnacentral:tRNA from 1 species
UUGAUUUAACUGUAUAUAUUUUUUUUAUUAGAAUAUAGUUCGGACUCAUAAUCGCUUGGUCGUUGGUUCAAACCCAACAGGGGCCACCA